rnacentral:rRNA from 1 species
UACGGGAGGCAGCAGUGGGGAAUUAUUGCACCAAUGGGGCGCAAGCCUGAUGCAGCAAUGCCGCGUGUGUGAAGAAGGCCUUCGGGUUGUAAAGCACUUUCAGUCGUGAGGAAAGGUAGUGUAGUUAAUAGCUGCAUUAUUUGACGUUAGCGACAGAAGAAGCACCGGCUAACUCCGUGCCAGCAGCCGCGGUAAUACGGAGGGUGCGAGCGUUAAUCGGAAUUACUGGGCGUAAAGCGCAUGCAGGUGGUUUGUUAAGUCAGAUGUGAAAGCCCGGGGCUCAACCUCGGAAUUGCAUUUGAAACUGGCAGACUAGAGUACUGUAGAGGGGGGUAGAAUUUCAGGUGUAGCGGUGAAAUGCGUAGAGAUCUGAAGGAAUACCGGUGGCGAAGGCGGCCCCCUGGACAGAUACUGACACUCAGAUGCGAAAGCGUGGGGAGCAAACAGGAUUAGAUACCCUGGUAGUCCACGCCGUAAACGAUGUCUACUUGGAGGUUGUGGCCUUGAGCCGUGGCUUUCGGAGCUAACGCGUAAGGUAG